UAUCAUACAAAUAUCCUCGAAACUGGCAAUUUUCAGCUGGUUAAAUUUGCCCCAUAUUUCUUUAUAGCGUCAUAAUCGAACACUCCCAGUCAAUUGACGUUCUUCCCAUCGUCCGUGACUCACGUACGUUGUAUAUAAAAAAUAACACGAAGGGUGGGCUCGCGCGUUAUCCGAUACCGCUUAUCCUUAUCUAGAAGUGGAAUUUCCGUCUGUUGUUGCGUUAGAUUGAAAAAUCGAAAAUAUUUCUCCGAUUAAAAAAUCGUUGGGGGCAUCUGACUAAGCUCGGUUCUUCGCUCGCGUUACCGCGAAGAUGAAGUGACGCUCUAUCAAUUUGUUAGAAAAAUAUUUAUAGAACGGAAUCAUAUUAUUCUCUGCAGUGCUAAACAUCGCCGUUGAGAUGAGCUUGCGUCGUACACAAAAUAAUGACCGCGGUCGGCGACUUAUGACGGACUUAUUUUUUUUCCCCUCUCUCACUGUUUUCCCUGUUCGCGAACUUCCUCGAAACGAUGAACUCGUCUCGAAAAAAUUAGAGGAAAAUGUUCGGUGCAAAAAUGUCGAGGCAUCGACCGGUUAGUCAAACAAUGAUCGAACAACCACCCUAUCAAAACCGAGCGUUCGCGACCGUCAAUCUAUAACCUGACAAAUUCUAUCGAUUUCUGAUAGAAAAAACAAUAAACCUCAGUCACGAGGGGCACCGAAUGAUUCAAUGAGGUUGAAGAAAAAUACUUGUUCGGUAUAUCUCCACUCUAUAAGUUUUUUACAAAAUUUUCUACUUUUUUUCCUCAUAUCUAUCCGCGUUAUCAUAUUUUCUUCUUAAUUUUUUUCACUCAUUGAUUGAAUUCAUUACUGCUCUUUUACACGUACAUGUAUACAUAAUCUACCGAAGUAAUAGUUUCACGGGGGUGACGUAGCCUAAUUUUAAAGAUUCUUUUUUUUUUUUGUUGAUUUUAUUAAGCAUUCAAAUGCGCCGUGCGAGCCUUGAGAUAAAUUUUAUCUUUACUGCCUGCAACCCGACUAAAACACACACACGCGUACUCUAUACCUUAUUAUGUACCGCAGUUUACAUGAGUGUGUGAGGUAUAUAUAAAUGGAUGAUUGAUCGGUACGGUGUGCGCAUAGUUUAUUAGAAAUUCUUCGUAUGGUCUGGCAUUGAAUGGACGAGACCGGACUGUUAUACUCUAUACAUAUAUGUAUCAUAGAAUGAUGAAUAGGUCAAUGGUACAGCCGUAGGAGGAAAAAAAGUUUCACGUCGCGCAAAAUCCAACGUUUCGGGGAAUGUGACGAACGAUAAGAAAGAUGGCUGUAUUAGUUAUCCAAAUUUUUAUCAAACGUAAAUAUAAAAAUGACGCGUUCACCGGGCGUAGCUUAUUUGAUAUGAUACAUGGUGCUAAUUAAGUUAAUUGACGUAUUAUGAAUAAAAUUUGCACAGCGAUACUAUGCCACAGUGUCAUGUACCAGUAAUUGACUGACUGACUGAGAUGUUUUUGCAAAUAUUGAAAACAGAUGCUGAAAUCAAUCAUUUUCUAUCAAUCGACCGUUUCAAAUUACAAAAAUAGAGUUGAAAACGCGAGUUACGCUUACAUCCAACUUGUUCAAUUGGAAUGCACUUCGUCUUCGUUGAAAGAUCUUUGAGUGCGGAUUUAAGAAUUCUCGUGUCUAUCAGGAUCGUCUCGUAUGAUUACAGAAAGAAUUGGAGCUUGACCCGCACAAUUACCACGAGAUGACGUUCGUCGCCUUAUAUUAUAGCCUCCUCGGUUCAGGACCUGAAGUGUAAUAGAAGGAAGCCAUUCGGUCGUUGAAUCACAUAGCGUGUUUCUAAUUGCCGCGCAUAUUAGCAGACAUAAUAACACUUCUGACAACGAGACUCACGUCUACACGUGAAGUACGACCGGCGUAACUGGCGGACAUAUUAUAACCGAGAAGUGCAAGGGAGGUACAACUUUUGUCUAGCCAUCUGUGCAGAGCGUCUGUGUUGAAAUUGUCACUGUCAUUUGAAUUUAUUAGGCUUCCUAUUCAUUAUAUUCGUACCGUAAGACGAUAUUCGUUCGCACAUAGCGGUUGUACGUGCAGUAGCAUUUAUAAAUCGAAAUGCAAUUCGAAUCGUAUACAGUAAACGAGUCCGCGAAGUAUUGGGGAGCGGGAAGGAAACCGCGUGAUGUCAUCGCGAGUAAGAAGUAAGCGGUGUCGAGGACGAAUCGGGCGGGAUGUGAAUUCCGCUGCUGGAAUAUAUAUAUAUUGUGCGUGUAUAUACCUAUGUAUAUAUAUAUAUAUGUAUAUACGGGUAUGAUGUAGCGUUGGUAUCGUUACAUAAUCCCUAUUUAUAGAUAAUUGCCGGACCGUAUACCAUUUCGGAUCGUACAAUGAUUUUUUUGUUUUUUUUCUUUCUUUUUGACGAAAGAAGAAGAAAUGAGGGGAAAAAAAAUUUAUCGCACAGGAUAGACGCGGCGAAAUAUCAUACUUCACGACCAUACGUACUCGCGCCGGCAACCGCCGACUAAUAUUAUUCUUCAUUACGUGUCGUCCUUGAAGUACGUCGCAGCGUAUACAGUACUUACAUAGCAUUAGUUCGUUCGCAUGAACUAUUAGAUCACAGGGCAAAUAAUGUUUGAUACAAUCGAGCGAAAGUCAACGUCUUUCGGUAUCGCGAGAAUACCUCGUACAGAAGUGAAAAAUAAAGUCAGAGUACGAAAAACGUUAUCAUUUCUUUUGCGUCUUUGACUGGCUGGCACUGUGGGGUAAUCCGAUUCUAAAUUUACAAAGCAUCAGCCUUAUACUCAUACCUAACGUAAAUUCAACAUGAGUAACAGCGUGUCCCUCGCUUGUGCUCGGUCGGGGUAUUACCGGCGAUGUUUACGCGUUAGUUGUUGAGCCGGCAUAUUUUUGACCUUGGCCACAAGAGUAGUAGAGGAAAACUUAUAGAGGCUAUUCCUCGAGCCGCUAAAACCGGGCCGGCUCCACGAUUCACGUUCGAAAUAUGUCCGAGGAUUUCCCGAUUAUUUGAGAAGUGAGCGUGAGCCAUGCACCUUGUUCGCACGAUAUCGGUAACCCCGUGAUACUCUCUGAUAUCGCAUGCGGGGAGACCCGAUUUCGCGACUCGGUGACAAACUCGUGACAGCUAGUUAUCGCGCUACGAUGCCGAUGAGCGCGAGUGUUCGAUUUUCCGCGACACAACGUCGCAGGGUGACGAGCUAAGAGGAGAGUGAAGAGGAGAAACGAUGGAGAAAUGCUGGAGCCUCGACGAUACGUGGAGUAGUCCGAGAUACCUGGCCAACUUUUCAUCUAAAUCAUCGAUCAUCACCUGUAAAUGAGCAUCGAGAGUAGGACGACAGAAAC
rnacentral:lncRNA from 1 species